AUUGAACGCUAGCGGGAUGCUUUACACAUGCAAGUCGAACGAGUGGCGGACGGGUGAGUAGUAUAUCGGAACGUGCCAAGUAGCGGGGGAUAACUACUGGAAACGGAGAUUAUAACGCAUACUACCGUAUGAACCCAUAUGGGUUUAUCUAGUAGGUGAGGUAAUGGUUCACCAAGGCGACGAUCCCGAGCUGGUCUGAGAGGCUGACCAGCCCCACUGUGACUGAGCCACGGCCCAGACUCCGACGGUAGGCAGCAGUGGGGAAUUUUGGACAAUGGGGGAAACCCUGAUCCAGCCAUCCCGGGUGUAUGAUGAAGGCCUUCGGGUUGUAAAGUACUUGUGGCAGAGAAGCGGUAUCUGCAGAAUAAGCACCGGCUAACUACGUGCCAGCAGCCGCGGUAAUAC
rnacentral:rRNA from 1 species